CGCUUCGUCAUUAGGGAGUAGCCGCUUCGGUUUACCGAAGAUCAGCGUCAACAUACUUGACCUACACAGGGUCAUGGCGCUGAUAGCAACUUAGCCUGGCAAGACUUUUGACCAUGGACCUUCGCGUUUGGCCGGGAGGGUUUGUGGUCAUCUGUCUCUUAUCCGGCCAGGAGUUGU
rnacentral:sRNA from 2 species